GACGAACGCUGGCGGCGUGCUUGACACAUGCAAGUCGAACGGUAAGGCUCCAGCUUGCUGGGGUACACGAGUGGCGAACGGGUGAGUAACACGUGGGUGACCUGCCCUGCACUUCGGGAUAAGCCUGGGAAACUGGGUCUAAUACCGGAUAGGACCGCACCGUGAGGGUGUGGUGGAAAGUUUUUUCGGUGUGGGAUGGGCCCGCGGCCUAUCAGCUUGUUGGUGGGGUAAUGGCCUACCAAGGCGGCGACGGGUAGCCGGCCUGAGAGGGUGGACGGCCACAUUGGGACUGAGACACGGCCCAGACUCCUACGGGAGGCAGCAGUGGGGAAUAUUGCACAAUGGGCGGAAGCCUGAUGCAGCGACGCCGCGUGGGGGAUGACGGCCUUCGGGUUGUAAACUCCUUUCACCAUCGACGAAGGGUUUCUGACGGUAGAUGGAGAAGAAGCACCGGCUAACUACGUGCCAGCAGCCGCGGUAAUACGUAGGGUGCGAGCGUUGUCCGGAAUUACUGGGCGUAAAGAGCUCGUAGGUGGUUUGUCGCGUCGUCUGUGAAAUCCCGGGGCUUAACUCCGGGCGUGCAGGCGAUACGGGCAUAACUUGAGUACUGUAGGGGAGACUGGAAUUCCUGGUGUAGCGGUGAAAUGCGCAGAUAUCAGGAGGAACACCGGUGGCGAAGGCGGGUCUCUGGGCAGUAACUGACGCUGAGGAGCGAAAGCAUGGGGAGCGAACAGGAUUAGAUACCCUGGUAGUCCAUGCCGUAAACGGUGGGCGCUAGGUGUGGGUUUCCUUCCACGGGAUCCGUGCCGUAGCUAACGCAUUAAGCGCCCCGCCUGGGGAGUACGGCCGCAAGGCUAAAACUCAAAGGAAUUGACGGGGGCCCGCACAAGCGGCGGAGCAUGUGGAUUAAUUCGAUGCAACGCGAAGAACCUUACCUGGGCUUGACAUAUACAGGAUCGCGCCAGAGAUGGUGUUUCCCUUGUGGCUUGUAUACAGGUGGUGCAUGGUUGUCGUCAGCUCGUGUCGUGAGAUGUUGGGUUAAGUCCCGCAACGAGCGCAACCCUUGUCUUAUGUUGCCAGCACGUUGUGGUGGGGACUCGUAAGAAACUGCCGGGGUUAGCUCGGAGGAAGGUGGGGAUGACGUCAAAUCAUCAUGCCCCUUAUGUCCAGGGCUUCACACAUGCUACAAUGGUCGGUACAGUGGGCUGCCAGUCCGUGAGGGCGAGCUAAUCCCGCAAAGCCGGUCUCAGUUCGGAUCGGGGUCUGCAACUCGACCCCGUGAAGUCGGAGUCGCUAGUAAUCGCAGAUCAGCAACGCUGCGGUGAAUACGUUCCCGGGCC
rnacentral:rRNA from 1 species